CAGCCGCCACGGUAAUACGAAGGGUGCAAGCGUUACUCGGAAUUACUGGGCGUAAAGCGUGUGUAGGUGGUUGUUUAAGUCUGUCGUGAAAGCCCUGGGCUCAACCUGGGAAUUGCAAUGGAUACUGGCAAGCUAGAGUGUGUCAGAGGAUGGUGGAAUUCCCGGUGUAGCGGUGAAAUGCGUAGAGAUCGGGAGGAACAUCAGUGGCGAAGGCGGCCAUCUGGGACAACACUGACGCUGAGGCACGAAAGCGUGGGGAGCAAACAGGAUUAGAGACCCCCGUAGUCCCUGUCUCUUAUAC
rnacentral:rRNA from 1 species